UGUGGCCCUGAGACACCGGCUGGAAACAAUUCUCACGCUGAGGGUCUCCCCCCUGCCCUCGCCCUGGCCCAAGACUCCGGUCUACAAGCCCCGUACCCCAGAGCGGCCCCUCUGCCUGCCGGUUAAGUGCCCAGUGUCUGCCUCCGACUCACUAUGCAGCUGGAGAAGCCGAUGCCCCCCAAGCGGGGGCACACGUAGUGCCACACACCAAUGCUGCCACGGCGGAUCCUCUGGCCCACAGCCAGCUCCAGGAAGAAGAGUGGGAUCCCGAUGAUGAUCAGUAGCACGAGGUAGGGCACCAGGUAGGCACCUGGGGAGGAGAGAGGAGCGUCACGGGGUGUCCGGAGCACGGCACCACGGUAAAGGAGGACAGCCUUGUCCUGCAGACCUGCCCACAUCUCUGAUCACCCCCAAAGUGCCAGCGGUCCUGUGCUCCUCCAGGAAUGGUCUGGCUCAUACGUGUGGCCCACCACACACUGGCCGCCCAGGCCCUCCUUCUCCCCGUUGACUCCUCUGCCCUGAAAUGCUAAGGGGGGAUCUAGAUGUAGGUCCAUGCCUCUCGCUCACAAGGUUGGAUUCAGAGAUGGACAGACAGACAGACAGAUGCCGCACUCUCAGGAAUCCACACGUCAAAUCACAAAUAGACACACUCUCCCCUCCCGACGUACUCUGUGGACACCUGUUCACACCCCCUCCCGCCCACAGAGAAGCAGCCCCAGAUGGAGUGGACCCUGCUCCCUCGUCCCCCAGAGGCACAGCCCCGGGGCACAGCCCUCCCCGCAUCUGAAGCAGAUGCUGACACAGCAGACCGGGUAGCUCCAGGGAAGCGGAGCUUUUGGAAGCUCUCCAGGGAGAGAGGGUCUGACCAGCAUCACCAUUAAUCUACAGCUAAUUGGGAGGAACGAGGGAGAAAUUAGCAGUUCAGAAAAGCACGGCCGAGAGGAUCAUAAUGGAUAGACAGGAUGGAUCUUGAUAAAGAUUCCAGAUGAGAAAUUAAACUCACUGUCCCUGGCCUCACUGCAGACACAAUCUCAAUUCCAAGUGACAGGGCAGUUAGCAGGAGAAUUAAAAUCGUGUCUGGACACAGAUGAGCGAUCCCUGCUGAGAGACGUGCCAGCAACCCAGUCCUGUUAGCAAUGCUGUCACACAGCCCCCGUCACCAGUGCCAUCAUGGCCACCCAGCACCCCCAGACCAAGCCUUGCCAGCUUGGAGCAUCCAGAAGACCCCCAGCCACAUGGCUCUGGCCCCCGUAACAUGACAUCCGUAUGUGUCCCAUCUGCCAAAGAACCCGGGGGAUCAGGCGUCUCUUGGGCACAAGACCCAGCGCUCGGCAACAGUCAGCUGUUGACUGUAGGCCUACCAUGCGCUUGGCAUGUGCGGGGUGCGGGGGGUGGGUACUUGGGUGAAAGAAGGCACAGCCGCUAUCCCAGGAGAGCUCACAGUCUGGAAGGCAAGACCCUCAGGUUCACACGAGCAACGUCAGCACAUGUACACACACACACACACACACACACACGCGGACCAGUCACACAGAGCCAACCGAGCACACGCGUGCUGAGGGAGGGGUCAGACAGAACUCAUCAGGAAAGUCCUCCAGGGGAGGUAACCCACCAAACCUUACACAACAGCAUCUGAUUCAUUAAAUAUCCACACGCAUACAGUCACACGUACACGUAAAUUCCACGUGUCGCUAACAAGCAGCCUGAAAAGAGGGUGGGCCCGAAGGACUCGCGGUUCUGUCUCCUGGUCCGGGGUUUCGGGGAAAUGAGAGAGGAGAGAAGUGACAUGCAGAAAAGCACAGGGACACAGCCUCCCUAGUUUCGUAUUUCACCCACAUACCCUUGGGUGGCGCAAGAUGUGCAGAAAGAUGGGUUUCGGGGUAGCAGAAGAGUAGGCUGGCAUCCUCUGGGGAUGCUUCUCUCCUCUGCCCCAAAGAACCAGGGAAAGCCUCCACAUCCGUGCUGUCCAAAGAGCGGCCCCACAGCAGAGACCGGUCCCUGGCAACCCGCCACCUGCCCCUCGGGCCGGUCGCCUGCGCCAGGCCCAGGGCACUGACUUGGCUGCAAUUCUCCUGACGGUGCCACGGCCUAGCCACGCGCAGCGCUUGGGCGCUGGGGGCUGGGUGAGAAUUGCUGGUUAGGCAGAGGUACUUUUCUUAUCAACCUUUGCUGACAUCAUUUGGAAACGCACCCUCUACCACCUUAGAAAAUACAACCUGGAGGCACAACUAGAUUGAUCUCCUUUGACGUUUCAGGGACGUUCGGGAGCUUCAGGUCGUCAGCCUAAACAGCCAGGAGUGCUGUGCACGGUGUUAGAAGUUUCACAGAACAUGGCUCUAGGAAGGUAAGAUUGUGUGAUCUCUGAGGCCUCCUGGAUCUCUCCAGUCUCUGUCCUGGUCUAUAUUCUAGGUCUUGCUUCCGGCACACCCUGAGGUUAUUUCUGGGCUCUGAAGCACCACCUUGGUCUCAGCCUGUUGAGAUGCAUACUAAGUAGGGACUGAGAUCUGGGGGGGGGGGGGCCAGACCCCCUGGGCUUGAAUCCUGGCUCUGCCACUUACUAGCUGUGUGACUCUGGACCAAUUACCUGAUCUCUCUACACCACUGUUUUGUCCUCUGCCUAAAAAAGGAUAAUAACAUUAGGUAGAACCACAUGAAACUGCUGAUCUCUGACCAUUUUUGACUUAUAAAAAUGGUCAUUUCACAUACUUCAACUCUACCCCUAUGGCACAGGGCUGUUUCAAGGAUUCAGUGGUUUCCUUACCCCUUAGUAAGCACUUGAUGAACAUUUGCCUCUUUUCAUAAAGAUAAACAGGAAAAAAAAAAAAAGCAAACUAAGAGGACACAGAAUAAAGAAACGGUCAGCAUCUAGUCGCGCUAAGCAGAGUUCCAGAGUUCCCACCCAGAUUUAAGCAAAGUUGGACUGGAUCCUUCACGGCUCGGAACCACAGAGCUUCCACUCUUGGACCGAAUAGUUGUCUCUUUCCUGUAUGUGAAACAUGAUAAUUUAUCUCCUUCCAAAAAAUAUUUAAGAUGACUUAUCAUAAACCCCGUAGAAUACUGGAGUCAAAGGCAGAGAUAGAAAGGGACUCUAGGAAUCAGAGAGGGGGGAAGGAUGGGGGCAGGAAUGAGUCAUGGGGAGCUCAAAAUCCUGAGAGUUAUAUCAACUCAGUGACCUGAGUCUGGCCAUGCGAUAUAGGCGAAAAGCUCUAAUUGGUAGCUAUUUAUUGAUUUAGUAGAGGUGGGGUGAAGACCUUUCAAAGCAUGGAGAGCAUACAGUGAAUAAACGGCGCCAUAGUGGCAAGAUAAAAGCCUCUGGCCUCAGUUACACCGGCUCGAGGGGGCAUGCUCACUUCCCACCCUUCAACAGAAAUUGGAAAGAAGGGAAGUCUCCAGCCAGGCUCGGCCUCUGGACGAGAGAGUGUUCUGCAGAGGAGGGAGCAUCCCUGAUGAGGAGGGCUCAUCCCUGAGAGGAGGGCUGCAUCUCUGGGAGAGGCUACAUGGCCAGAGUCCCACAGAGCAGAGAGAAAAGGAGUCAGGUGAGAAUGCCUACAAAGCUGUGGCCACCCAUCAGGCUGGAGUGUGGCAGUCCCAGGCCACAGGGACUAGGAGGCACAAGGGCUCUCUGCUGGCUCCAAUCACUUUCCCAGGACCAGAUGUCUGAGCUUGUAAAUGUCCUUGUUUUCAGCCUGCUAGGUUUUUCUGUGUUUAUUUUCUGUUAGUUUUCCCCUGGUUUCAAAACAAAUUACCUUUGAAACAUUCCAGCCUGCCUCAGACGGGCCGGAGGAUAAGGGCCCGGGGGCUGCUACCCACCUGGGUGGCUAGAAGUGGCUAGUAGAAGGGGUUUGAUUCCAGGGGCAAGAUCCUGUAGGCGGAUUAAAACUCGGGGGGCAGUGCGAGGCCCCCUCCUCCCUGGGAGGCAGCAGGUAUGCUCAGACUCUGGGGGCCAAGCUGUUCUGGUUAGAAUCCUUACUUUAUCACUAGCUGUGUGACCUUGAGUGAGAUACCUAACCUCUCUGUGCCUCAAUUUUGCAGUCUCUACCAUGAGGAUAGUAACUCCUUCCUCACACAGGGAGUAGGGGGAUUCGAUGGCUGAACUGUAUGAAAUUGGUGCUUUGGUUGGUCCCAGACACUUAAAUAUCAGCAGUUUCAUGCAUUUCGGCCUAAUAUCCGGUAAGUGUUGAACAGUGCCUGGCACCUGCUAAGCCUUUAAGUGUCAUGGCCAACAGUUUCUCUUUACUAUGCGUCAGAUAACGGUGUUAAGCAUUCCACACAUAAGGCUCACCAAAUCCUCCCAACUUUGCUGUAAGGCAGGAUCUACUAUUAUUCCCAUUUUACAGAUGAUGACAGAGAGGCACAGAGAGAUCAAGCAACUUGUACAGGGCUGCAAUGCCAGCUGGCUGCACUGGGGUUUGUGCCCAGGCAGUCCCGGGCCAGAGCCCACGUUCUUAUCAUCAUCAUGCCUGACAGCCUCUUGGUAGCUAUGAACCAUUAGCUAUUUCUGGGGAGCCUUCCUCUGGACUCCCGAGCUCCACCCUAUGAGGGCUCCAAUUCUGCAUCAGCAAAGGGGCGUCCCUUUCCACCCCUCAGCCCGGCCCCUUUGCAAGGCCCCCUUGGGGUAGGCAGGGCUGCCUCUUACCGCCUCCAUUUUUCUGGCACAGGUAGGGGAACCUCCAGAUGUUGCCCAGGCCCACGGAGAAGCCGAUCUGGGCCAGGAUGUACUGCAGCUUGCUGUUCCAGGCCGGCCGGUCCUCCGCGUCCAGCUCCUCCUCUGCCGCCUUCUGCUUGCCGCUGGCCUCACCUGCCACGUUCAGGAUGCUCUGCUUGUAGUCCACGGGCUCCUCGAGGGCCAGCAGGUCGGCCACCGACUCCGUGACAUGCUCACUGCUGUGCUCACGCUGGGUCACCUUGCUGUUCUUAGGCAUUGGUGCCGCCUGGGCCACGCAGCCCCGCUCCCUGGCACUCAGAGAAGGUGGGGCUCAGCUGCUGUCAGCUCCUUCUCAUCCAGGGACCUGUGAGACCAGGUGAGCAGGGGAGGAUCAGCUGAC
rnacentral:lncRNA from 1 species